AUUUUGCCCGUCGUUACUUCACUUCCGUUGUUCCCUCCUCUGCUGGCGGCUGCCGGGGAGCGCAGCGCACCAGCCAGCCAUGAAGCGCUUCUUCCAGCCCGUGCUCAAGGACGGAUCCCCCGCCAAGAAGAGGCCCGCCGGAGCGGCGACCUCUGACUGCGUUGAUGGCCCCGCCCCCACCGCGGCCGACGCCGGCGGGGACGGCCCUCCCGGCGAGGAGCCACGCAGGUUCGUCACGUGGAACGCCAACAGCCUUCUGCUCCGGAUGAAGAGCGACUGGCCCGCGUUCUGUCAGUUCGUCGCCCGCGUCGACCCCGACGUCAUCUGCGUCCAGGAAGUGCGGAUGCCAGCAGCUGGUUCCAAAGGGGCACCUAAAAAUCCUAGUGAGCUAAAAGACGACACAACCUCAUCACGUGAAGAAAAACAGACAGUGUUGCGUGCUUUGUCGAGUUCACCUUUCAAAGACUACCGUGUCUGGUGGUCCCUUUCAGAUUCCAAGUACGCAGGCACAGCUGUGUUUAUGAAGAAGAAGUUUGAACCAAAGAAAGUGUCAUUCAACUUGGAUAGAACAUCUUCUAAGCAUGAUGCAGACGGCCGUGUCAUCAUUGUGGAAUUUGAAUCAUUCUUGUUACUAAACACAUAUGCUCCAAACAACGGGUGGAAAGAGGAGGAAAAUUCAUUUCAAAGAAGAAGAAAGUGGGAUAAAAGAAUGUUGGAGUUUGUUCAACAAGUAAACAAGCCCUUAAUCUGGUGCGGAGAUCUGAACGUUAGUCAUGACGAAAUCGAUGUCAGCCAUCCUGAUUUUUUUAGCGAUGCUAAGCUCAAUGGAUAUAUCCCUCCAAAUAAAGAGGACUGUGGACAGCCUGGAUUCACCCUUGCAGAGAGACAGCGUUUUGGCAAUAUAUUGUCGCAGUAGGUGUAAACUAGUACUCCCUCCGUCUGAUAAUAUAAGAGUGUUUUUGACACUACACUCUUAUAUUAUGGGACAGAGGGAACAUAUUUCAGCAUUUUUCCUUCUCUUUUGAUAGAGCACUCCCCCAUUUCUCAAAUGGAGGCCAUCCUUGAACAAAUGCGUGCAACCUUUUAAUUUAGUUUGCAUGCUUAAUUUACCUUAACCAUCACCGUUUUCUCUCAACUGAUGCCCCACAUUGAUAUAUAGCUGGAGCGUAUUAACAUCUCUAUUUAGACCCAAGCAACAAAAAACGUGCCAUGAUGAGCAUCUCAAAUGUGAAUCUUGUGGAAUUUUCAUCAUGGAAACAUAAAAAGAUUAUUUCAAUGCUGAGUAAGGUAAAUGUUCAACAUGACUGGGGGCAGUGACAAGUUCUCAUAUCAUCAUAUAGAUAUUGCUGGUACAACCUCUAAGUUUGUUUAUAAGUACUUUACUGGUCAUUGUAAGUUCAAAAUGGACCAAGGUUUUGCACACACAAAAAGGAUGAAGUUCAAACUAGCCGGGACAUGUACUGUCAUCUUUGUCUGGAAUUUUUAUAGGACAGGCCUGAAAAACAUACCUAUAAACCAAUGAAUGGUGAAUAAGACAUUUUGAUGGAAAUGUAGAAGGCUAAAGUUGGUUGCAUAGAAGCAUUAAUCUUUAUAUAAUCUUGAAUACCACCUUAUGGACUAACAUUUGGAUAUACAGGGGAAAGCUGGUAGAUGCUUACAGAUACCUGCACAAAGAAAAAGACAUGGAGUGUGGCUUCUCUUGGUCUGGGAAUCCAGUUGGGAAGUACCGAGGAAAGAGAAUGCGGAUUGACUAUUUUGUUGUUUCAGAAGGGUUGAAGGACAGAAUUGUUUCAUGUGAAAUGCAUGGUCAUGGAAUUGAACUGGAAGGAUUUUAUGGAAGUGAUCACUGUCCUGUUUCACUUGAGCUCUCCAAAGAAGCAGCGGAAGCACCAGAAUCGAAGAGCUCCGGCUAACUUCUAUGUUUUUCUCUGAACCGGACAUCGCAGAUUAUUAGAUUAGGUCAGGUGAAGCGCUUGGCCUAUCAUGAGCUAUUUAAACAUUUUCUAUGACCUGUAGCCUGUAGGCCAAUACUGUGGUGCACCCUCUUGUCCUGAUCUGGAUUGGAAUUAGAGUUCAACGCUUACUGUGAUCAACUAGUGGUAUCCAAGCUCAGAUUUCUAAAGAGUUGUUC
rnacentral:rRNA from 1 species